UGUGUACUCCCUCCGUUCGGAAUUACUUGUCUCGGAAAUGGAUGUAUCUAGAGCUAAAAUACGUCUAGAUACAUCCAUUUCUGCGACAAGUAAUUUCGAACGGAGGGAGUACAUA
rnacentral:pre_miRNA from 1 species